rnacentral:rRNA from 1 species
UACAGAGACUGCAAGCGUUAUUCGGAUUCACUGGGCGUAAAGGGUGCGCAGGCGGCCAAGUGUGUGAGGCGUGAAAGCCCGGAGCUUAACUUCGGAAUUGCACCUCGAACUACAUGGCUAGAGCAUUGGAGAGGGUAGCGGAAUUCACGGUGUAGCAGUGAAAUGCGUAGAUAUCGUGAGGAACACCAGAGGCGAAGGCGGCUACCUGGGUAGAUACUGACGCUGAGGUGCGAAAGCGUGGGGAGCAAACAGG